rnacentral:lncRNA from 1 species
UUGUGUUUAAUGCAGAGCAGAACUGUAACUAUAUGAAUUGUCAAAAGCAUAGAAAGAUUUUGGUUUUUUUGCUUUUCUGCAGGGUUUGCACAAGAGUAUCACGUUGGUUUUAGAUUUUGACAAGACUUCUGCUUUUGAUGCUUAUCCUUACCAGAGAGUCUGUAUAUGGGAGUCUGCAUCAGCUAAUGGCAGACUUAGCUGCAGCAGUGUGGCAGACCUGUGACUAUAUACUGAGGCUGGAGAAUCAUCAUGGAUACAACCCUGGACCUGUACCUAAUGCUAAACUGAGAAUUAUGGCGCCUCAGUGACAUGUACUUGAGCAGGAGGAGGGUGUGCUGUGAAUCUUUGAUAAAGUCAUGCUCCAGCAGGCCAUGUGCCCUACAGUAGGAUCUGGGUGGAUAUGGGGGGAAUGUUUGGUUGUGAGUUUGUCUUAAAAACCACACAAACCAAUAUACCAAAGGAAAUUUUGUACGCAGUUGCCAUCUACUUCCAGUAAGCAAUGAGAAAGUAGGGGUAUAUGCCGAGUCUCCUGGCAAUCUUUUGUGUUUGCCUUUCAUGCUGUGCAUGUAAAAGUGCAUAACUUUAAUAUGUAGUUUUUAUAUUCUCAACCUACUCUGUAUUUCAAAUGAUGAAAAAAGACCUGUGUUACAGGUAAAUUUUGGAGAAGAUAAAGCAAAGCAACCAAACACUAGAGGUAAAUCAGGGUAGAGGAUUUCAUAUUAUGGGGCCAAGAAGCUAAUGCAGACACAUAGCUAGAGAAGUGGGGUGGGUACUGUGUGCAUGACCAGCACUUCCAAUAUGAUUUUGUCCUUCUUAAAACCACUGGCACUGCUGAACAAACUAUGUAAAUUCGGCUCUAUUUUUGAUUGUUAUAACUGUUUCCUUCUGAUAACCUAAAAUUAAAUACUCUGUGGUUUCAGCAACAAAAGCUCAAAUCCUAGCUGUGCAUGUUAAAGAAACCUCCUUGUAAACCAAAAGUCCUACUUCCAUAGAGCAUCAUUGGCACUUGCUGUGAGAUGUUUGGUCUGCUAACAGACUGCAGCAGGACAAGGAGUACAUGGGGACUUAUUGGAAUACAUCUAAGGAGUAAUGGCUUAUAAAGACUUGCAAUAAAUAAUGAAUGCCCAGGGUAAUAUUCUUUCUA